CUAGUGCUGGCUGUGAAAGUAUUUUAUCGUAGGUUGAAAUAUCACGAGCGGAAGCAAGUGGUUAGAAAUUUGAGUGUGGCAAGUAAUAGACAGUAGUGUUAAGCGAUCCGGGCGCAGUGGCGUGCUAUCUCUCACACUGAAUAUAAGUCAAUAUGGCACAUAGAGUGACAUUGUUUCUUCUUGUAGCUGUGUUAUUUCAUGAAUUUUUAUUGAUUCAUUCUACGACAUACGACAAAAAAACUUUAGACGGGAUGAUUCUCAAGACUCUCUGGACUAAAGUGUACACAGGAUAUGAUCCCAAGAUAAAGGAGCAAGCCAUCAACACUUUGAGGAAAACUGGAGACUACGACAAACUAAUAAACCACCUACUAAAAGUGAAGAAGGAGAAAGUUCAACGGAUUCUUAACUUAUUAGCCGAAAUUAUUAUUGCGUAUG